rnacentral:misc_RNA from 1 species
AAUGAAGAACGUAGCGAAAUGCGAUAAGUAAUGUGAAUUGCAGAAUUCAGUGAAUCAUCGAAUCUUUGAACGCACAUUGCGCCCCCUGGUAUUCCGGGGGGCAUGCCUGUUCGAGCGUCAUUUCACCACUCAAGCCUCGCUUGGUAUUGGGCAACGCGGUCCGCCGCGUGCCUCAAAUCGUCCGGCUGGGUCUUCUGUCCCCUAAGCGUUGUGGAAACUAUUCGCUAAAGGGUGUUCGGGAGGCUACGCCGUAAAACAACCCCAUUUCUAAGGUUGACCUCGGAUCAGGUAGGGAUACCCGCUGAACUUAAGCAUAUCAAUAAGCGGAGGA